AAUUCUUAGAAAUUUCAUAUCUGAAAAGGAUAGUUUCCAAAUUCCAAAUUAGUAGUAUUAUUUACCGCCAGAGUCAGAACACAAAACCCACUUUUGUUUAAUAGAGAAAGGCAAAAAGUGCACCGACUGACCCAAAAGCCACUUGCUCCACCGGUCACUACCGUGAUUUGCGCCUCCUCGUGUGGUCUCUCUCGCCAAAGAGAAUUUUAGUUUCGCUUUUUAUAAUCAAAACUCGUUUACAAAAAACUUAAACACGUUCGUGCAACUCAAAGAAAUUGACAAGAACAAACAACAACAACAAUUCUAAUAAAUUAAUUAGUUUAUUCUUUUCCCAAUAUUUCUCCA